rnacentral:rRNA from 1 species
AUUGAACGCUGGCGGCAGGCCUAACACAUGCAAGUCGAACGAGUGGCGGACGGGUGAGUAAUGUCUGGGAAACUGCCUGAUGGAGGGGGAUCAAUAAUGGAAAGGGUAGAUAAUACCGCAUAACAUAGUGGGUGCCCAGAUGGGAUUAGCUUGUAGGUGGGGUAAAGGCUCACCUAGGCGAAGACCCCGAGCUGGUCUGAGAGGGUGAACAGCCACACUGGAACUGGGACACGGUCCAGACUCCUACGGGAGGCAGCAGUGGGGAAUAUUGCACAAUGGGCGCAAGCCUGAUGCAGCCAUGCCGCGUGUAUGAAGAAGGCCUUCGGGUUGUAAAGUACUUUCAGCGGGGAGGCGUUACCCGCAGAAGAAGCACCGGCUAACUCCGUGCCAGCAGCCGCGGUAAUUC